UAAAGUGGAUAAUUCCAAGUGGUAUGCGCUGGUGAAAUAUAAGAGUGGCAAUAUAACAGAAGUAUUGCCAGUGCAUAAAAUUAGAGUGAAAGUCGGAAAAGGUCAACGAGUAGCAUUCAAUCCGAAGUCUUUAACGGAUUUUGAUAAGACAAAAUUCUACACCGUUAACACUACGCAUAGCAGCGAGGACGGAAAAGAGCACAAGUGAUUUUAUUCUCGGGACCGAAGAUUUAGAUGGAUCUGUUUUGAAAACAGCCAGGUCGAACGUGCCUGGAUUAUAAUAACUUUUCAACAGACGUCUAAAUUGAAUCCGCCGUCCGGCUCUUCUUGUUCUUUUCGGCAUGAGAGAUUUUUAGGCUCUAGACCCUUUGGCAAUCGAUUAACAAGAGGCUCAGCGAAAGACUAUCUGAUGGCUAAUUGGAGGCUAACAAGAGACUGCUUAGAGACUGACGAGAGA
rnacentral:misc_RNA from 1 species